rnacentral:rRNA from 1 species
GAUGAACGCUGGCGGCGUGCCUAAUACAUGCAAGUCGAGCGAACAGACGAGGAGCUUGCUCCUCUGACGUUAGCGGCGGACGGGUGAGUAACACGUGGAUAACCUACCUAUAAGACUGGGAUAACUUCGGGAAACCGGAGCUAAUACCGGAUAAUAUAUUGAACCGCAUGGUUCAAUAGUGAAAGACGGUUUUGCUGUCACUUAUAGAUGGAUCCGCGCCGCAUUAGCUAGUUGGUAAGGUAACGGCUUACCAAGGCAACGAUGCGUAGCCGACCUGAGAGGGUGAUCGGCCACACUGGAACUGAGACACGGUCCAGACUCCUACGGGAGGCAGCAGUAGGGAAUCUUCCGCAAUGGGCGAAAGCCUGACGGAGCAACGCCGCGUGAGUGAUGAAGGUCUUCGGAUCGUAAAGCUCUGUUAUUAGGGAAGAACAAAUGUGUAAGUAACUAUGCACGUCUUGACGGUACCUAAUCAGAAAGCCACGGCUAACUACGUG